rnacentral:rRNA from 1 species
AAAGGUGGUAAUGCCGGAUGCUCCAGUUGAUCGCAUGGUCUUCUGGGAAAGCUUUCGCGGUAUGGGAUGGGGUCGCGUCCUAUCAGCUUGACGGCGGGGUAACGGCCCACCGUGGCUUCGACGGGUAGCCGGCCUGAGAGGGCGACCGGCCACAUUGGGACUGAGAUACGGCCCAGACUCCUACGGGAGGCAGCAGUGGGGAAUAUUGCACAAUGGGCGCAAGCCUGAUGCAGCGACGCCGCGUGAGGGAUGGAGGCCUUCGGGUUGUAAACCUCUUUUAUCGGGGAGCAAGCGAGAGUGAGUUUACCCGUUGAAUAAGCACCGGCUAACUACGUGCCAGCAGCCGCGGUAAUACGUAGGGUGCAAGCGUUAUCCGGAAUUAUUGGGCGUAAAGGGCUCGUAGGCGGUUCGUCGCGUCCGGUGUGAAAGUCCAUCGCUUAACGGUGGAUCCGCGCCGGGUACGGGCGGGCUUGAGUGCGGUAGGGGAGACUGGAAUUCCCGGUGUAACGGUGGAAUGUGUAGAUAUCGGAAAAGAACACCA